UGGUCAAGUUAUUAAGGGUGCAGGGCGGAUGCCUUGGCACUAGGAGCCGAUGAAGGACGUGAUAAGCUGCGAUAAGCUUCGGGGAGUUGCACGUAAACUUUGAUCCGAAGAUUUCCGAAUGAGGAAACUCACUUAGAGUAAUGUCUAAGUAUCAUUAAGUGAAUACAUAGCUUAAUGAGGGGAACUCAGGGAACUGAAACAUCUAAGUACCUGAAGGAAGAGAAAGAAAUUCGAUUCCGUAAGUAGCGGCGAGCGAACGCGGAUUAGCCCAAACCAAUAAAGUUUUCUUUAUUGGGGUUGCGGACAUAUCAUAACGAAGAGGUAUCGUAAUUGAAGAGGUUUGGAAAGACC
rnacentral:rRNA from 1 species